rnacentral:rRNA from 1 species
CCUACGGGUGGCUGCAGUGGGGAAUAUUGGGCAAUGGGCGCAAGCCUGACCCAGCAACGCCGCGUGAAGGAAGAAGGCUUUCGGGUUGUAAACCUCUUUUCUCAGGGACGAAGCAAGUGAUGGUACCUGAGGAAUACGCCACUGCUAACUACCCGCCAGCAGCCGCGGUACUACGGAGGCGGCAGUCGUUAUCCGGAUUUACUGGGUGUAAAGGGCGUGUAGGCGGGGGCGCAAGUCAGGUGUGAAAACCACGGGCUCAACCUGGGGCCUGCAUUUGAAACUGUGUUUCUUGAGUACUGGAGAGGCAGACGGAAUUCCUAGUGUAGCGGUGAAAUGCGUAGAUAUUAGGAGGAACACCAGUGGCGAAGGCGGUCUGCUGGACAGCAACUGACGCUGAGGCGCGAAAGCGUGGGGAGCAAACAGGAUUAGAUACCCUGGUAGUC